rnacentral:rRNA from 1 species
UACAGAGGGUGCGAGCGUUAAUCGGAAUUACUGGGCGUAAAGCGCGCGUAGGCGGACCUGCAAGUCGGGGGUGAAAGCCCGAGGCUCAACCUCGGAACUGCCUUCGAUACUGCGGGUCUCGAGUCCGGGAGAGGUGAGUGGAAUUCCUGGUGUAGCGGUGAAAUUCGUAGAUAUUCGGAAGAACACCAGUGGCGAAGGGCGGACUCACUGGCCCGGUAC